CCCUGACCGGCACACACAACCGGCAUGUUUACAACGUAUGUAAACAACGUGUAAAUGUAUGUAUUUUACUUACUGAUGUUUUGAUACAGUGGUUGUCAUUCCACUCUGGAGAGAUUGACUACUGAACUGAUGUGUUUAGAAAGUCAUUCCACUCUGGGUGAAUGGACGUUACUGAUGUUUUAAUAAUCAACCUACCUUUCAUGUAGCUUGUGAUUAUCCCGUUUCAUGUUAAUAUUUUAAAUUUUCAAACUAGGGUUAACUUCUGCCGGUUAAACAUUUAUUGGGAUGCAAAUGUCCUCGAUCUUUUCUUUCACCACUGGAUGUGUGUAAUACAGUCCAUGAACAGUAUUAUACGGUUAUUGUCUUUCACAUUUAGUUUUACCAAUCUUUUUUUUUAUUAUUGUAAACAUAUCUAUACUACCACAUAUUAUAUUUGGUAUGAAAUGAUCCUGUUACUGUCCAUAGUUUAAGUGGCAGUCACUGAUUGGUUGUGAUGAUCGAUAGGACGGUCAGAUCAGGAAGCAGCAGCAGUGAGUAUAGGUCCACAGACCCAGGCUGUUGCCAUGGAGAAUAAUGUUGUUGGAGGAGCUAAUGAAGGAGCAGGAUUGAACACUGGGGAUUCAGGAAGUGGACAGGGUGUAAACGAUGGAGCAGGCAUCCCCCAAGCUGAAGACGCUGGUAAGACAGAUCUGCAGCAUCAAACGACUGCAGUUAAACUACUAGACUUUCUUAAACUCAUCUUGAAUGUGUCUAAAAGUAACACGGCACACUGCAAGGACUUGUGUGAUGUUUUCCAUUAAAUCUUAUUAAAACGUAUCAAUCUCUUGCGAGAAAAAAACUGAAUAUGUGCAUUAUCACUGUGCCGUAAAACAUGAACAGUCACAUUUGCAUAAUUCUUAUACUACUGUGUGGUGCGUUAUUUUAUCAUGAUUUAGCUGUACAUGUUUGUCAUAGCAUCACCAAUGACCUUUAGGUCACCAAAAUCAAUAAAAUAAUACUGAAUAUGUUUAAUAGUUUUGUGUGCAUCAUAACAAUUCAUAUAUCUGUGACUAAACAUUCAUUUCAAGUAACUAUACUUACAUACAUUAUGUUUGUAACACUGCCAAUGACAAAUCCAGACGUAUUUUCUUCCUCUAAUCA